ACAAGUUAUGUGCAAAGAGCCCAGUUAUGCGUCCGAACAAUUUGGUCUCUCCCAACAUUUAUACACACGUAAUAUUGCCAAAAGAAAAGAAAAACACAGAAUGGUGUGAGUAUUUAGAAGAAAUAAUCGGAAUCAGAUUCAGAUUCAUACGCAUUGUACUCAUCAUCCUCAUCAAGUUCAAAAUCAUCAUCUUCUUCUUCUUCAUCAAAGUCCCUAUCAUCAUCAUACAA
rnacentral:misc_RNA from 1 species